rnacentral:tRNA from 1 species
CGGGGCGUAGCUCAGCCUGGUAGAGCUUUCUGUUUGGGACCGAAAGGUCGCGUGUUCGAAUCACGCCGCCCCGACCA